rnacentral:rRNA from 1 species
CAGCCGCCGCGGGAAUACGUAGGUGGCAAGCGUUGUCCGGAAUUAUUGGGCGUAAAGCGCGCGCAGGUGGUUUAAUAAGUCUGAUGUGAAGCCCACGGCUCAACCGUGGAGGGUCAUUGGAAACUGUUAAACUUGAGUGCAGGAGAGAAAAGUGGAAUUCCUAGUGUAGCGGUGAAAUGCGUAGAGAUUAGGAGGAACACCAGUGGCGAAGGCGGCUUUUUGGCCUGUAACUGACACUGAGGCGCGAAAGCGUGGGGAGCAAACAGGAUUAGAUACCCCGGUAGUCCCUGUCUCUUAUACA